rnacentral:rRNA from 1 species
UACGGGGGGGGCAAGCGUUGUUCGGAAUUAUUGGGCGUAAAGCGCGCGUAGGCGGUUACUUAAGUCGGGAUGUGAAAGCCCUCGGCUUAACUGAGGAAGUGCACCCGAAACUGAGUAGCUAGAGUACGAAAGAGGGUCGCGGAAUUCCCGGUGUAGAGGUGAAAUUCGUAGAUAUCGGGAGGAACACCGGUGGCGAAGGCGGUUCUCUGGGCCUUACCUGACGCUGAGGAGCGAAAGCGUGGGGGAGCGAACAGG